rnacentral:rRNA from 1 species
GUGGAGCAUGUGGCUUAAUUUGACUCAACGCGGGAAAUCUUACCGGGUCCGGACACACUGAGGAUUGACAGGCAAUAUUAAUUUCGCCCCGGCGAUUUUAUGUUAAAUAUGCUAGUCCUUUCAUGAUUAUGUGAUAGGUGGUGCAUGGCCGUUCUUAGUUCGUGGAGUGAUCUGUCUGCUUAAUUGCGUUUCACUAAGGGCCUAUAAUUUAACGUGUGUUGCGGCACUUUGACCCCUCUUCGCGGAGCGUGCGUCUUAGCUUGUUUAGCUCACACAAUUAGGUCCUGAAAGCAACGAACGUGACCGCAACCUCUUGUUGCCUUUAUACCAAACACAGUCUGACCUUCUUCUCGAAGGGCUACCGUGAAAAAAGGCUUUUUAAACUAGAGGGACCGCUGUUACUUUCUUAAACCAGAGGAAGGUUGCGGCAAUAACAGGU